UACAGAGGUCUCAAGCGUUGUUCGGAAUCACUGGGCGUAAAGGGUGCGUAGGCCGCACGGUAAGUCAGAGGUGAAAUCCCGGAGCUCAACUCCGGAAUGGCCUCCGAUACUGCCGUGCUCGAGGACUGGAGAGGAGUCUGGAAUUCACAGUGCAGCAGUGAAAUGCGUAGAUAUUGUGAGGAACACUAGUGGCGAAGGCGAGACUCUGGACAGUUCCUGACGCUGAGGCACGAAGGCCAGGGGAGCAAACGGG
rnacentral:rRNA from 1 species